rnacentral:rRNA from 1 species
AGUUGGAAACGACUGUUAAUACCGCAUAAUAUCUGUGGAUUAAAGGUGGCUUUCGGGCUGUCGCAGAUGGAUGAGCCUGCGUUGGAUUAGCUAGUUGGUGGGGUAAGGGCCCACCAAGGCUACGAUCCAUAGCUGAUUUGAGAGGAUGAUCAGCCACAUUGGGACUGAGACACGGCCCAAACUCCUACGGGAGGCAGCAGUGGGGAAUAUUGGACAAUGGGGGCAACCCUGAUCCAGCAAUGCCAUGUGUGUGAAGAAGGCCCUAGGGUUGUAAAGCACUUUAGUUGGGGAGGAAAGCCUUAAGGUUAAUAGCCUUGGGGAAGGACGUUACCCAAAGAAUAAGCACCGGCUAACUCCGUGCCAGCAGCCGCGGUAAUACGGGGGGUGCAAGCGUUAAUCGGAAUUACUGGGCGUAAAGGGUCUGUAGGUGGUUUGUUAAGUCAGAUGUGAAAGCCCAGGGCUCAACCUUGGAACUGCAUUUGAUACUGGCAAACUAGAGUACGGUAGAGGAAUGGGGAAUUUCUGGUGUAGCGGUGAAAUGCGUAGAGAUCAGAAGGAACACCAAUGGCGAAGGCAACAUUCUGGACCGAUACUGACACUGAGGGACGAAAGCGUGGGGAUCAAACAGGAUUAGAUACCCUGGUAGUCCACGCUGUAAACGAUGAGUACUAGCUGUUGGAGUCGGUGUAAAGGCUCUAGUGGCGCAGCUAACGCGAUAAGUACUCCGCCUGGGGACUACGGCCGCAAGGCUAAAACUCAAAGGAAUUGACGGGGACCCGCACAAGCGGUGGAGCAUGUGGUUUAAUUCGAUGCAACGCGAAGAACCUUACCUGGUCUUGACAUCCUGCGAACUUUCUAGAGAUAGAUUGGUGCCUUCGGGAGCGCAGUGACAGGUGCUGCACGGCUGUCGUCAGCUCGUGUUGUGAAAUGUUGGGUUAAGUCCCGCAACGAGCGCAACCCCUAUUGAUAGUUACCAUCAUUAAGUUGGGUACUCUAUUGAGACUGCCGCUGACAAGGCGGAGGAAGGUGGGGACGACGUCAAGUCAUCAUGGCCCUUACGACCAGGGCUACACACGUGCUACAAUGGGUAUUACAGAGGGCUGCGAAGGUGCGAGCUGGAGCGAA